AUAAGUAGUACUCCCUCCGUUCAAAAAAAACCUAACUCUAGAUUUAAAUCUGGACAUAGUGUAUAUCCAAAUUCAAACCCAGAAUUUAAUUUCUUUUUUUGACAGAGGGUGUAUAUUACUAUAUAUUAUAUCACUUUCAUCUUCGUGCACUUGCUGGCGCUGCCAACUGUGCCACGUAGACUACCAUUAAGCUCCUUUAAUUAACUCGAUCUACUUCUGACAGAUGUACUCCUAUAUAGUAUGACAGUGCUCUCUCGUCUACCUGCAAUGCAAAUUGGAGUAAACCCCUAGCUAGAAGAGGCUAGAGAAGAGCAAAUCUCUCCCUUCUCCCUUGUGUCCAAUGCAUCUCUUGAAUUUACUGUACUCUGGAGUAGAAGAUACGAACAAUGCUCAGUAGUACAGUAAAUCCAUGGAUGGAACGGUAGAGUCGGUGUUUGCGGGCGUGGCAUCAUCAAGAUUCACAUCCAUGCAUAUAUCACAAGACGCACAUAUACAUCCGAUUUGGCUGAGAAUCUUGAUGAUGCUGCAUCCGCAGACAAGCGCCUUUUUUUCUUUUCAAAGGUAAGCUCCUCUGCUAUUCAAAGACCAUACAUUAGUUGUUCAUCAUCUUCAUCCUUGUUACUCCCUCCGUUUCACAAUGUAAAACAUCCUAGCAUUUUUCACAUUCAUAUUGAUACUAAUGAAUCUAGACAUCUUACAUUGUGAAACGGUGAAACGGAGAGAGUAUUAUAUAUGGC
rnacentral:precursor_RNA from 1 species